rnacentral:tRNA from 1 species
GGGGUUGUGGCUCAAUGGUAGAGCGCUUGCCUAGCACGCAGGGUGAGGCACUGGGUUCAGCCUCCAGCACCA